rnacentral:rRNA from 1 species
AGACGGAGGGUGCAAGCGUUGCUCGGAAUUACUGGGCGUAAAGGGUGCGUAGGCAGCCUCUUAAGUCUGGCGUGAAAGCCCAGGGCUCACCCCUGGAACUGCGUCCGAAACUGCACGGCUUGAGGCCUGGAGGGGAGAAUGGAAUUCCCGGUGGAGCGGUGAAAUGCGUAGAUAUCUGGAGGAACGCCGGCGGCGAAAGCGGUUCUCUGGACAGGUUCUGACGCUGAGACGCGAAAGCUAGGGGAGCAAACGGGAUUAGAAACCCCGGUAGUCC